rnacentral:rRNA from 1 species
AUCCAGACUCCUACGGGAGGCAGCAGUGAGGAAUAUUGGUCAAUGGUCGGGAGACUGAACCAGCCAAGCCGCGUGAGGGAGGAAGGUACAGAGUAUCGUAAACCUCUUUUGUCAGGGAACAAAGGCGGGGACGUGUCCCCGGAUGAGUGUACCUGAAGAAAAAGCAUCGGCUAACUCCGUGCCAGCAGCCGCGGUAAUACGGAGGAUGCGAGCGUUAUCCGGAUUUAUUGGGUUUAAAGGGUGCGCAGGCGGAUUUUUAAGUCAGCGGUCAAAUCGUGGGGCUCAACCCCAUCCAGCCGUUGAAACUGGGGAUCUAGAGUGUGCGAGAGGUAUGCGGAAUGCGCAGUGUAGCGGUGAAAUGCUUAGAUAUUGCGCAGAACUCCGAUUGCGAAGGCAGCAUACCGGCGGCGAUCUGACGCUGAGGCACGAAAGCGUGGGUAUCGAACAGGAUUAGAUACCCGAGUAC